GAGGGGGGGAACCGGCGGGCCGGGGCCCGCCCGGACCCUCUUUGCUGCUGCACCCGGAAGCGCGGCGGGGGGCACGUCCCCUUACUCUGGGUGGGGGCCAUUUCCGGCGUGGCAUUUCCGGUCGAGGCACUUCCGGCUUCCGGUAGCGGCGGAAGAGCGAAGAGCGACCGGCGAGAGGAAAGGCCGGGGCCACCCCGCCCCCACCCGCUCCGGGGACCCCCCGAAGACCCCCCGGGACCACCCGGGACCCCCCCCGCGACCCCCCCCCGGACCCUCCGAGGCCGCCAUGACGCGUCACGGGAAGAACUGCACGGCGGGGGCCGUGUACACCUACCACGAGAAGAAGAAGGACACGGCGGCCUCGGGCUACGGCACCCAGCGGGUGCGGGGUGGGGCCGCGACGCCGUCAAGGACUUCGACUGCUGCUGCCUCUCGCUGCAGCCCUGCCGGGACCCCGUCGUCACCCCCGACGGGUUCCUGUACGAGCGUGAGGCGAUUUUGGGGUACAUCC